rnacentral:tRNA from 1 species
CUUCUAGUGGUGUAGUGGCAACGCGCCUAUCUAGUGAGUAGGAGCCGUGAGUUCGAGUCUCACCGAGAGGA